GCGGGUGCAGGUGAUGACUUCACUUUUUUCCCCAUCGGAUCGACCAUGCCGAUCCCGUAGGACGUUUGCCAGUUGGUCCUGAUGCACCCGC